rnacentral:lncRNA from 10 species
CUUUUGGCAACACCCACACAGACACACCCACGAUUAAUAUUUUGUAUCCUUCACUCCAACAAAGUUGGCACUCAGCAUCAACCAUCACAAAUAGUAAAGAAGAAAAAGAGGAGGAGGAGGAGAAAAGAGUGAGGAGGAGGAAGGAGGAAAAGAAAAGAAGAGAAGAAGAAAACAGAGGAGGAGGAGAAAGGAAUUUUGAUAGUACCUCAAAAGAAAAAAAUUGAAAAAACUCAAGACAAAGCGGGAAUUGAAAAGCCUCUAUGAGUUGACCUAAAAUAGAAAUGUUAUAAUCCAUACAAUAAUAUUAAGCAAGCAAGCAUGCCAAAAUAGAUAAACCUUGUGGGAUAUCACAGAUUACUCUUAAAAUGAGAGUGAAAAGUUUUGCUUUUUACAUCAGAGGGGUGAUCUACAGGAGAAACAGUCCUCUCAAUCAAGAAAAAAAUAAGUCAAUAACAUCAACCUAAAUAAUUGUUUUUAAAAUUUAAAUUUAAGCACCAUCAGUCAUCAAAUAUAUGAGAAAAACUGAAAGCAUUAAAAGAAAAAAUCAAAGAUUAACUAACAACUUUAUUAGAAAACAAGAAGAAAAAGAAGGAAAGUUCUCUCUUUUCGGAAAAACCCACCUGGGAUAAAUACAUUAUAACAAUGAAUAGUAUUCAUGAGAGGGUAUAAUGAUAUAAGCAUAUUAUAAUUUUGACAGAAAAGUAAUGCAAUUAAUACAGCAGAAAAAAAUCAGUUGUUUUAUAAGCCACAUGAUUAAAAUAUAAGUUUGACUCACAUAUUACAUGAAUUUUAAUAACUACUAAAGAAUAGAAAAUACUUCAUUAGACUGACAGUUACUACAGUCUCAUAAAAAUAGCACAGGAAACAUGACACUUUACAUGGCCUUGACAAAUAUUUGCAUAAUCAAGACAUUAUAGUGAUUGUUUUGUUUUGAUUUUAACACUUAGGUGUCACCAACAAAUAAAUAAAUGCUUAAAUAAAGCUUCAGUACAAAACGUAAAAUUAAAUCAACAGAUGACAUAUUUGAUGAUAUAGAGUAGGGGAAUCAUGGUGAAUGGGAAAGUAGAGGCACUAAUGUUUUCCGUUCAUGUAAUUAGCAAAUAUUGUCAAAGUUGAGAGGCCUCCAAAAAAAGGCUAAUAAUAAAAUUAUAAGAUUGAAAUGUAACUAGUGGGUGAUAUUUGCUCUGAAAUGUUAGGACAAGUGAGAAAGAAACAAAAUCAAGAAUAGCGUAAGAACACUGAAUACUCAUUUUUCCUUCUAUGGAGAAAUAGGUAUCAUCUAAAGUUGAUAGAUAAAUACAUUCAUAAAUAAAUACACAACUUAAAGAUUUCUGGGUCAUCUUCAUAUAAAUCCAAACCAGAAAUUCUAAAAAAUGUAUCUUUAAAAUGUUCAUAGAAGGUGGAG